rnacentral:rRNA from 1 species
CCCUGAAAGAUGAUCAGGUUGAUAGGUCUGAGGUGGAAGUGUGGCGACACAUGGAGCUGACAGAUACUAAUCGAUCGAGGACUUAACCAU